GCGAGCCGCAAGCUGGAAAGGAAAGGAAAUGAGGGAGGGCAAAGGGGGACGACUUUAAAUGCUCUGCUCACGGGGGGUUGAUGAACGAACAAGGGCCUGAAGCUGUGAAGCACAACAAGUCCUGAGCACGAGUGCUCAUCUCAUCUCCAUCAGCAGCAGCAGCAGCAAUCGAUCCCUGACACAUUCAAGUCACGACCAAGCAACGCAUCGCAUGGAGAUGGAGACUGACUACAGAUUGCCGGAGGCAGCUGGCAGCAGCACAAGGGCUGAUGAUGAUGAACUGGAGUCAUCAUGUUUUUAACCCUGCAAAUUAGUAGUAAAGGGAAAGUAGUAGGGGUAGUUAAAACAAAGGCAAAGGAAAAGCUGCGAGCGGCCGGAGAUUAGCUGCUGGUGCUGGGUUAGGACCAAGAACAAGAGAUUCUUACCCAAAAAAAACAGAGAGAUUCUUGUCUUGGGCCAUGUUUAGGUGCGAAAACUUUUGGGUGUAAAAUACUGUAGCAUUUUUGUUUGUAUUUGGUAAUUAUUAUUUCGUCAUGGGUUAAUUAGGCUCAAAAGUUUCGUCUCGCAAAUUAUAGACAGAUUGUGUAAUUUAUUAUUUCGUUUAGUUACAUUUAAUACUUCA